ACCUUGGGGGUUCACAGGUCUUCCAGGGGAUAUAUCAACUCAUCUCGAUAUUUGCCAAGUUUUACAACAGGCUACAUAAAAAGCACUAGUGAAGUCAGUACAAACUCAAAUUUCAUACAGACAAUGAC